UUGCUAUGAUGAUAUACCUAAUGAAUUUUGAAACAUUGUAUGAGAAUAUUUCACGAGCUUUUUAACCCUGAGCAAU